UGUCAUUUUGUGACAAUUUGUGUCUGCAUUUUCUAUAUAAAAAGCAAUCUUAUCACUCACAUUUCUCAUUGAAAAAAGAGUAUCUGACGAAUCUACUAAAUAACAAUGGCAAGGUUCAGCGCUUUAACAAUUUUUCUCGUGGUGGUAGUCUUAUCUGCCAUUUCACUCGCCGAUAAGCCGGACUGGGUAGCUUUCAAGAAGCAACAUAAAAAGGAAUAUAAAUCUGCGCAAGCAGAAGCAAAAGCACAAGCAAAAUUCGACAAAAAUGUGGCGCGGGUUGACGCACAUAAUAAAAAAUUUGAAAAGGGGGAAGUCCAAUACAAACUAGCGUUAUCCAUUCAGCGAUCAACGAAUUUCCGGACGAGGACCCCGAAGAUUUUCAUCAAACCCAUCACGGUCUGAGACCAGAGUUACGACAAAAUCAUUCCAGCCGAUCGGUAUCUCACGACCGCUACGCAAGGGGCCUGUCACCACCAGAGCUUGAUUAUAGACUGAUGAAUUUGGUUUCUGAUGUCAGAAAUCAACAAAACUGUGGCAGCUGCUGGGCGUUUGCUUGUCUCGCCGCCGUAGAAAGCCAAGUUUUAAUGGCUGGUGGUACUUCGGUCCUCUUAAGUGAACAGCAAUUGGUGGAUUGCGAUUCGUGGGACCAUGGUUGCGCGGGAGGUUGGCCGACAAAUACAUUCCAAUGGUUACAAUAUAAUGGGGGUAGUAAAGCAGAUUCUGCAUAUCCGUACACAUCUGGUUGUUGUAAUGCCGCUGGAACGUGUAAAGGCGGUAAUGCUCCAGUGGUGCAACAAGUCUCCGGGUUUCAGCAAUUGACAAUGCCUGCGGCUGACGACACUAUUAAAUCUUAUCUGUUUGCUCAUGGACCGGUCAGAAGCAUAUCUUAAUACAUAAAGUCAAGAGGUCUAGACAACAGAAAAAAUUAUUUGAUUUCCACCAGUUGGUAAUUGCUGUUUCUGGUCAACCAUGAGAUCCACUCUACUCUACGGGUUACAUUUCGUGUCCGGCUGGUAGAAGAAUGGACCAUGCGGUUUUGCUCGUUGGGUAUGGGGCUGAUGCUACCGGCAAACAAUACUGGAUUGUUAAAAACUCUUGGGGCACAGGAUGGGGAGACAGUGGGUUUGCUUACGUCUGGGCAGGUCAAUAUGGUAACGUCGAUUGCGGAAUUAGUCAGUACUUGGCGACAUAUCCACUCAUUCCCUAAACUUACUGGUCAGGACAAAAAUUAUUGAAUUUAAAGAAACUAUACAACUUAUAGAAAAUUACACAAUCUAAUUGUUUUCUCCUUCUUGUAAUCUUUAACGAAAUUCGAAAUAAAGUACCAAUUACAUAAUGCAA